rnacentral:rRNA from 1 species
GAUGAACGCUGGCGGCGUGCCUAAUACAUGCAAGUCGAGCGAACAGACGAGGAGCUUGUUCCUCUGACGUUAGCGGCGGACGGGUGAGUAACACGUGGAUAACCUACCUAUAAGACUGGGAUAACUUCGGGAAACCGGAGCUAAUACCGGAUAAUAUAUUGAACCGCAUGGUUCAAUAGUGAAAGACGGUUUUGCUGUCACUUAUAGAUGGAUCCGCGCCGCAUUAGCUAGUUGGUAAGGUAACGGCUUACCAAGGCAACGAUGCGUAGCCGACCUGAGAGGGUGAUCGGCCACACUGGAACUGAGACACGGGCCAGACGCCGACGGGAGGCAGCAGUAGGGAAUCUGCCGCAAUGGGCGAAAGCUUGACGGAGCAACGCCGCGUGAGUGAUGAAGGUCUUCGGAUCGUAAAACUCUGUUAUUAGGGAAGAACAAAUGUGUAAGUAACUAUGCACGUCUUGACGGUACCUAAUCAGAAAGCCACGGCUAACUACGU